rnacentral:rRNA from 1 species
GACGAACGCUGGCGGCGUGCUUAACACAUGCAAGUCGAGCGCACCCUUCGGGGUGAGCGGCGGACGGGUGAGUAACGCGUGGGAACGUGCCCUUCUCUGCGGAAUAGCCUCGGGAAACUGAGAGUAAUACCGCAUACGCCCUUUGGGGGAAAGAUUUAUCGGAGAAGGAUCGGCCCGCGUUGGAUUAGGUAGUUGGUGGGGUAAUGGCCCACCAAGCCGACGAUCCAUAGCUGGUUUGAGAGGAUGAUCAGCCACACUGGGACUGAGACACGGCCCAGACUCCUACGGGAGGCAGCAGUGGGGAAUCUUAGACAAUGGGGGCAACCCUGAUCUAGCCAUGCCGCGUGAGUGAUGAAGGCCUUAGGGUUGUAAAGCUCUUUCAGCUGGGAAGAUAAUGACGGUACCAGCAGAAGAAGCCCCGGCUAACUCCGUG